GCAUGCAUAUAGCAUAGUGUUAAUGCACCAGAUCCCAUUAGAACUCUACAGUUAAGCACAAUCGGGCUAGAGUAGUGUUGGGAUGGGUGACCUUCUAGGAAGUCCUUUUGUUUUACAUGCC
rfam:Picea glauca, whole genome shotgun sequence.